GUGUGUUGCAGGCCUAUUCUCACCUGCAACAGCUUUGGAUCACACCCUUCUCUUCCUGUUGAGAUGCUAAACAUCAGCUGCUUCACAUAACAAGCUGACAUGACUGAGAAUACACAAUUCUGAAGAAUGAAAACCACCACUGAAAAGAAAAGGUGAAUCUUAUAAAAGCACAGCACACAGAUCAAGAAAAGAUUGUUUAAUUAUCAAAAUUGUAACUCGUGUACAACUCCCUGCAGAAAAAAAAACAAAAAACCCUGACUGAUAGAAACUGUUAAGACAGUGUUACAAACAUUUCCCCUCUCUUUUAAUCAGCACGGAAAAAGCUUUUGAGAGAUGUUCAAUGGUACAGAUGUUCUUUCAAGCUGUUCAAAGACAUGAUCGUAUCUAGCUAGUCUCACUAGCUGCAGUUCUGUAUGAGCACAAGGAAAACUAUAAUUCAUUCUAUGAAUACAGCGAUACAACGAUGAGCCUUGGUAACUGAAAGCAUAGUGAUACAGUAAAGAGGCAACGGAAGAUAAGAAGACAACUGUCAAAUCUGAAAAAUGUGAUUU